AGAUGUGAGUGAGAUCUGUCUGCGACAUCUGUCACCCCAUUGAUCGCCAGGGUUGAUUAGGCUGAUCUGGCAGCUAGGUGGGUGUCCCCUUCCUCCCUCACUGCUCCUCCUGUGUCCCUCCUGAAGCUGUGUGCUCGGUGGACAGCAAUCCCAGUUUGAAGGAGUGUACCGUUCUUCGGUCAAGGGUAUGCGAUAGCUGCACUCCCCUGCUAGGACCUCCAAACCAGCUCAGUGUUCAUUUGUAGGAGAAUAUAGGGUAGUGAAGCUUCCAAGACUCCUGACACAUCCAAGUAAGACACUGCAUGUGCCAGUUUGCCAUUCUUU